rnacentral:misc_RNA from 1 species
UCCUGGUUAACCCAGGCAGUCUUCCCAGAGUGCCCAACUUAAUGCUGGCAACAGAGAAUAGGGGUUGCGCUCGUUGCGAGACUUAACCCAACAUUUCACAACACGAGCUGACGACAGCCAUGCAGCACCUGUCACUGCGUUCCCCGAAGGGCACAACUCUAUCUCUAAAGUCUUCGCAGGAUUUCAAGCCCAGGUAAGGUUUUGCGCGUUGCUUCGAAUUAAACCACAUAAUCCACCGCUUGUGCGGGCCCCCGUCAAUUCCUUUGAGUUUUAGCCUUGCGGCCGUACUUCCCAGGCGGAACACUUAACGCGUUAGCUACGACUCGGAUGGGAUCAAUACCACCCAAAUCUAGUGUUCAUCGUUUAUGGCGUGGACUAC